rnacentral:rRNA from 1 species
AUUGAACGCUGGCGGCAUGCCUUACACAUGCGAGUCGAACGGUAACGGGCCUUCGGGUGCCGACGAGUGGCGAACGGGUGAGUAAUACAUCGGAACGUGCCCGAUCGUGGGGGAUAACGAGGCGAAAGCUUUGCUAAUACCGCAUACGAUCUACGGAUGAAAGCAGGGGACCGCAAGGCCUUGCGCGGACGGAGCGGCCGAUGGCAGAUUAGGUAGUUGGUGGGAUAAAAGCUUACCAAGCCGACGAUCUGUAGCUGGUCUGAGAGGAUGAUCAGCCACACUGGGACUGAGACACGGCCCAGACUCCUACGGGAGGCAGCAGUGGGGAAUUUUGGACAAUGGGCGCAAGCCUGAUCCAGCCAUGCCGCGUGCAGGAUGAAGGCCUUCGGGUUGUAAACUGCUUUUGUACGGAACGAAAAGCCUUCUUUUAAUACAGGAGGGUCAUGACGGUACCGUAAGCAUAAGCACCGGCUAACUACGUG